UCGCGAGAUUUUGAGAGCAAGUCCCAAGAGCUCGUCCUCGAGAGAGCUCCAAACUGAACAGACCAGAUUUAAAGCACUCAGUGGAAAUGGAAAACCAUACUUUAAUAACAGACUGGUGUCACCUCCUCUUUUGAGUCCUUGAAAUUCCGUGUGGGCCUCAGGCCAGGGGCCCUUUGGCCCGCGGGAUCCCUUCCCUCGGGAGCCGCAGUGGUUUCCCCGUUGAGUCGCGUGGCUCAAGGUCGACGUUUUUCAGGUGAGCAGCAGCUGCUCUCGGGUACACAGCAGAACACUGAAUUCCUUUUUGGAAAGGGAUUCCUUUUUCAUCCAGCCUCCCCAGGUGCAUGCACUGAAAUUGGGCUUUUUACAGGUGUAUUUCCCUGAUUUCCCAGUGUAUCCCAUAUGUGCACUUUGGGUUUGUAGCAGUGACCAGGUUGUAGCAGUGACUAGGUGAAGAGCUGAGGACUUUGUUGCAAACCAGGAAUGUCUUGUGCUCACUCUGGUGUGCAGGAAACAAGGAGGUGCUUUAAGGAGAACUUGAGUUAUAUUGUGGGGUUUUGGUUUUACUGCCUUUUUUUGUUUUGUUUUGUUUUGUUUUGCAAGAGUUGCAGGUUCAGUGGGGUCUGGUUCCACAAUGCAAACUGAGCAAGUAAGUGCUUCUCUCCAGAGAUGCUUUUCAUUCUGUGAUAAUUUAAUUACAUAAAAGUUCUCAUUAACAUUUUACCUCUUUGUUAAUAGCAAGGAACUGCUGUCUGCUAGGGACUCUUCAGGUACAGUGUGCAGUGGGCAUUACGUGAGGUUUAUCAUGGGCACCUGGAGUAAAGUGGUUGUAGCAUCCUGGAGAAAUAUUAAAAAUACUCCGAGAUGCUGAGGUGUGAGCUAUUGUUCUUGUGAUUCAAGGAUGAAACAGUUUGCAGGUUGUUUUUUGGGAGGUUUUUUUCCAAAGAGCAUAGUUAUUUUUUUCUUAUUUUUCUCAAAUCAUUGGGCACUUUUCUCCAGCUGUCUUAGCCACCUUUGGUAAUUCAGGCAUUUAGAAGGGGAGAAGGGAUCUCAAUCCCUGAUGUGAUCUAAUUCCGUGAUACUCAGUUUAACAACCAAAAGGAUGUAGCAGCAGCUUCUAAACUGAAGUGUAAAUCUCACUGUAUCUCUUUACAGGCCCUAAAAUUGUAAUCUUGCACUUAAACCCAGAAUGUAAUCUUGCACUUAGCCAUGUUUUCAGGGAUUUGGGCAACGGAGAAGCGACGCUGCCUCGCUCGGUCCAUGCUCCAGUAGAUUCCUUGGGUAAUUAAUACAGGCAUGAGUUGAUUUCUGUUAAAACUUGCAUGGCAAAAAUCAAAUUCAAAGUGUGGAAUAGGAUGUGGUAGGAGACGAAGGAGGAAAUGUUUUGAAUGUAUUUUAUGGGUGUAACUGAACUUGCUUGAGUUUCUGUCACAAAAAUAGGAAUUUUUGUUACUGCACCACUUGUCAGAGAGGGCUUUGAUUCCUUUGUCUGCCCAGAAUGAGUGGACCCAGCAUCCCAAACAUCGUGGUGAACUGAGAAUUCCAAUGUGGCAGCAUCUCUUAAACACAGAUUUUGUUUUUUAUAGCUACUUUUCUUUCUAAAUGAAAAGGUGAAAGUCUCAUUUAAUGCUCUUAAAUUUGAGAGUAAAAUCCAGGAUUUCUGGGUUGUCCUUCAGUGUGAAUGUAAGAGAUGGCAGAAUUCAGCUGUUCAGCUUACUAUUAACAAUGAGAAUUUUUGGGAAUGACACCAGAAAUGCAGAUCACUGUGUUUAAGAUGAUACAGCGUGUUUACCACUUAUUGCAAAGAAUGUUUUAAUUGGAGCAGGUGCCUGUUGUGUGUCAGCAGGUGAUCAAUGCUGCAAGUGCUGCUUGUAUUCAGAGGGAGUUUUCUGGGAGAUUUCUGUCAUCUGACAGAAAUCACUUGCAAGAGUUUUCUAGGAAAGAGACUUGAACAGCUGGGAAUCUAAAUCUGCCCAAAACCGGGGAGAAAAAAGCACUAAAGUUUGUGUUGGACACUGAGAGCAGCAUUUGUUCUGCUGAUCCGCAGCAGGCACCUGCUUAAAAACCCAUAAAACUUGGAGUCAGCAUAGCUUGUCAAAGCCAGCUUGCUUUGGGAAGCCUUUUGGGAAGAGCAUGCUAGGUGCACUUCCGUUUUUCUUUGGGAAGUCACGGUGGUUCCACCUGCCACUGGCUGUGAAAUUGUGCUGUGCUGGAGGGCGAGAAGGAGCAGGCGAGGCUGUGUUCGACUCCAAGUUUUUCUGGUUCCUUAUUUAAUGGAGCACCUGCUUCUUUGAAUCUGGUUCAUUUGUGGUUGCUGCUCUGUUUUGUAAGCAAGGAUUUUAAACACCCUUUGAGGGUUCUUGUGGCAAAACUUUGAAAGGUUUUUCUUGCCGGCGCUGAAUUCCUGUGCUGCCAUCCCGGCUGGGCGGGCUGUGCUUUCCUCCUUGGUCUGAGGUGUUUCCCAUUGGAGUAACUGUCCACUGAGGUUGGCUUAGCCAGGGCUGAAGGUUUAGAAGCCUGUGGGUGAUACCACUGUGUGUAGAGCAAACCAGAUGUAGCAGUUGUUGGCUCUCUCCUCGUGUCUGGCAUUAAGUUGCUCUGGCGAGAGCUCAGUAUUCCCUCCCGACCUUGUGUGCAGCUGAUGUUCUUCUAUUUCACUAGUGUGUUGAAUUAGCCUGGAAAAAGGAUGUCCUUUUCCUGAAUCAUUUCAUCCUUGUGCUUUAUGCUUUGGGGAAAGAACCUCAAAUGACUCGUAGUUUUGUUUGAGAUUUUAGUUUGUUGUUUAUUUCUUUCGAUUGGAAACUUUGCGCAACUUCCUUGGCCCCUGGCCAGUGGCUUUGUUUGCCACGGGAACGCUGAGGUUAUCCUCAAUCCAGAGGUUUUAGGGGCACAAAUACCAACACAUCCUUGUCAGCCUCCCAGAGAGAGAAGGGCAUUAUUGCCAGGCAGACAAACCUUGCCCUCUCUCUCUUUUGUUUCCUGCAAGGAUGUUAAAGAUGGACAAUUUCAGGGACAAUUUCUUGGCCUCUGUGGAGAGCCGAGUCUUUCCAAGAACGAGUUUUAAUUUCUUAUGUGGGUUUGGGAACCCUCUGGUUGAUGGUAACUGAGGUGAAAGGCCUGAGGUAUUAAUGGGGAGGGGGAUUGAAUCAAAAUUGUGAAGACAAGUUCAAAAACUCUGAGGACUCAGGGAAAAAUGCCUUGGAAAAAGGUAGUUCCUGGCUCUAAGCAAAACAGUGUUGAGGGCAGUGCUCCUGGGGAGUGCUGUGUGCCCAGAGGGGAAGAAAUGGUUGCCAUGUGGCUCUAGAGCUUUUGGGGUUCUUUCCCCUUUGCCCCCCUGUUUAUUUCUUUAUAGCACUGAAGGACAGAUAUUCCAAUGAUUGGUAGACUGAACGAUGAGGUGAUUUUUGCAUCAGGCUUAAAGCAGACCGGGUGGUGCAGAGAAUGGUUCAUUGAAUAUUCAUCUUCCCGCAGUUCUAAUUGUGUGAAAACGAUGGCUAGGAGAUAUGACUUGAAUAGUAACAAUUUUAAAUUUUAUUGGGUGUGUCUUUGAUUUGACCUUUUAAUAUGGGCAUUGUCUGCUGUUAGAACUGCACAGCAGAAUGAGAGCAAAAGAGCUGUGUAACACUACACUUCAUGGUUUCGUUGAUAAGUUGCCUUCAGGAAAUACCCAGUGAGGAAAGUCAACCAAAUUAGCAAGAAUUAGGUUGGUUUUUCUCCUGGUUAAUGAUUUUGAUGUGCCCCAACAAAUGUUACUGCAAGUUGAGUAAUCAUCCGUACUGUAAGCCUAGUUUUAUCCUGGUCCAAAAAGAAGCCCUGCACUACUUGUUUUGCAUCUAUCCCUAGAAGGCAACUUCAUUCCGAGGUUUCAUGCCCAUGGGUGGUAUUGGUGCUUUUUGAAGUCCAAGCAGAAUAUUCAGAAAGGCCUCGUAGCUCUUUAUGUUCAUCUGUAUAAUGUAGGGAGGGGGAAAAACCCAAAUCUGGUGUACACAUUUGUAUUGAAAUAACGUUUUUUUUCCUCCUGCAAGCAAAUCUGGUGGACUGCAGAAGACAACCGCAUGGGAUACCAAGCUCUAAUGGACCUUUGGGAAGAGAAGCUGUGGCUUAUGUGGAAUUUACAUGGGCCUCCUGGUGGAAGAAAGCUUAUCUGUUUAGUAUUUGUGCAUUUUACUAAAAUGGCAGCUUUAAAAAAAAAAAAAAAGUUGUGUAUCUGCUAUUGUGAUGCCAAUGCCCGUGUUUUAAGUGGAAAAAAAAAUGACCUCUUUGCUUUGUGCUGUGUACACAAGAUUGCUGGAAAAGUAAAGGAAUACCCUUUUUAUGGCUCACACAGCUUAAAAGUAGCUGUCACUCAAACAUGCGCUCACAGUUGAGCUGAUUUUGUUUCAUUCUAAAUAAAUUGUUUCUUUUGAGGAAAAUGGUUUUUCUGCCUGGAAGUGAAUUGACGACAAACGUUUGGCCCCUGUGUUGGCAGCGGAGGGGUUCCUGCUGCUGCUGCCCAAUUGAGCUGAUAGUUGUGGGUCUUGAGCAAGAAGCAGGGAGAGCACCGACACUUUUGCGUUGAUCGACCUGUGGUACCAGUCAGAAGAAUUUGUGUCUGAUGGCCUUGCUGUGGCCCCCGUGUUUGCAGUGAAAAAGGGGUCACUUGCUGCGUUUCUCCUCAGCGGGACGGGGCAGCGGUGCUGCUGCUGGCACACAAGAAGCAGGGAAGCACCACCCUGCGCCUCGGAACGGUGGCCAAGUCUGGGGCUUCGCUGGUUGGAAGAGCUGGAGUUCCUGAAUUUUAAGUUUCUGAUUUAUUUUGUUCACCCAACAUGUUUGCCUUUAGUUUUGAUUCUUGGUUUUUUUUUUAAUUUUGAAGAAAAAAAAGUUUUGAAAUUGCUUUGAAUCUUGCACGUAAAACCUUUGCACCAAAAUUGCCAAAAGAAAAAGAGAAAUGAGUCCUUAAAAGUGUUUAAAUGCUGUUAAUAAAGCCUUUCCUGCCGUACGCGAGGCGCUCCUCCAUCUCCAGGGGCUUUUCAGCAGUUGUGGGUUUAGUGCUGAAUGGAUGAAGAGUUCCUGAGAGCUGGAGGCGGUAAUUUAAACCUUUGCGUGGUGUCUCAGUGCCUUAUUUUGACCGGUUUUGAAGCCAGUGGUUCCAUACGCCUCGGAUGUGCAUGUGCCCUGCUCGCGUCCCGGCCCCGCCGCGCGCUCCCGGUGUAGUGCAGACGGGGAGAGGAACGGCCCGAAAACGUUGUGUGCUGUAGUUCUCCUGUGCCGGGGGCUCCUGAGCUUUGGAAAGCUGUUCCCGUGCAGGAGCACAACUCCGUGUUUGCUGCAGGACGUCGAGAGGAAGCUGCCGCUGCUGCGUCGUCGGCUUCAGGAGCUCAUCCUGCCCUGGUAGAAUUGCUGUGAGGAGCCAUGAGGACACCUUGAACGCUUGCCCUGUUUGCCUUGACACACUUUAACCUCCGUGGAUAACCCCCUGCAGCCGGGCAGGAGCUGUGCUAGGCUGCAGAUGCCUCUCAGCCGACGGAUGCUGUGCUUGUGCUCUGCAAGGUGUCUGCUCCCGGGGCAAAGCGCUGUGUAAAUCCCUAAAACAGCGCCAGGUGUGAGCAGAAAGUGUUUGACCACCAUCCUGGGCCUGCUCAGUGGAAAAACAAAGGUUUGAAGAUUCUUCACCCCCCUCCCAGCCCGCUGGCAGGAUGGUGCAGGGCUCCUGGGAGGAGUUUCUCGUUGUGGGCAUCGGUUUCCUCAACAAUAUUGGAUGAACCAGAGGUCCUGUGUGCUGUGGCAGUAACUGUGCCUGGGAUGUGGAAUGGCCCCAGUGCAGCGCCCACCCCAGAGAGAGGAGCUCCUGGAGCAGCUGAUCCUCGUGGAAGGAUCACCCUGAUCCCUGUCCCUGCUUCCACCCCUCCCCAGGGCCAGCUGUUUGUGUGAGCAGGAUGAGCUGAAAUCUCUGCUGUGCUCUGGCACCGGCAGCUCCCUGGCUGCUCAUCCCACGAGGUGAGUGAGUCAGCUCUGCUCUGGGAAGGACAGAGCUGAGGAUUCAGUCUGAGAGGCACAAAAACCCAGCUCAGGAGCAGAGGCACCGUGGGCUGCAUUUCCCCAUACACUGCACACUGUGCAUUUCUCAGCUGGCUUUAAUCAGGACAAAUAUCCAGGUAUCCAAACUGAACCUGACAUCCAGCAGCUCCAGUUUUCAGUGUUGCUGCUGUGGAUCCUUCCCAGUACAGGCAAUGGCUUUCCCACAUAGAUGUGAUCAAAUCCCAGUCUUUGAAACUUCAGCUCUUGUUCAAAUUGGCUUUUUUUAGCUUCCAUUUUUGGGCUGCAGGCUCGAAGAAGAAGGAGAUGGGUGAGAUGAGAGCACAGGCUCCAGCAAAGAGGAAGGAGCAGGCGUAGGUCUGGGUGUAGUCAUAGAGCCACCCUGCAGGAGAGAAGGUUGUUAUUAAAGCUGGGGGAUUUUUCUCAGUGAAAAAAAUAAUUCAGGGAGGUGGGUGGGAGGCAAAGGAUGUGUGUUCUCAUCUAAGAAUUGCUCAGAUAUUUCCCUUAAAUUAUUUUAACUCUUCCUGGGCAGCAUUUCCUGUAAGGAAAUGACAUGCAGGUCAUUUUUCCCAGAGCCAGCUUUGAUCCUUGUAGUGGACAUGGUGUUUCAUUUGAUUGAAUUUAAUCCCUGAAUUCUGUUUUUUUCCUGUUUAAGUAAGUGGGCCAAAAGUGGCUGACAGAAGAUCCCGUUGGAUUGAAGGGAUGACUUGCACGUGUUGGUAUUCGCAACAUCUGGGCUGCAAACCCCCUGUUCUCCAGCCUUGUCUUGUGAGCAGACCCAGUUUCAUGUCCUUUGUCUGACAGGAGAGACCCCAGGCCAGGAGCUGGAAGUGAACUUGAUAAAAGUAGCUCUGGGAGGACUUGAAAGGAAAAGCUGAAUUCCACUGAGCCUCAGGAAUGUCUGGAGGAUUCAGGUCGCCUUUUAAAGUGACCUCCAAGUGUUGGCUUUGGUCCUGGCAAAUCAUCUGGGGUCUGGGCAGUCCUUUGAAAGGUGGAGAGUUCCCCUCUUUGAAUCUGAAAUCUGCAAAGUGGUGGGAGAUGCUGCUGCUCAUAAAAACCCUAAUGCAGUCCCAAAUGUGGGGUGGGGUGGGUGUGGGGCAGCAGCUGGGCCAGAUCUGCUGCUGGUGUGAAAUGCAAUUCCUUGGAGACAUCCAUGGAAUCCAGACAUCCAGGGGCUUCCAUGAGUUACACAAACAGCAGAUCUGGCCCAAACCUGGGUUUCUUAAAGCCAGGAAGGGACAGGACACAGUCCCUGAGGUUUGGACACGUGGAAAGGGAGGGUGCCAGUGAAGUUUGGGAUCUGCCUGGAGCAGAGGCACUGACAUUUCCCCUCUGUGGAUUUCCACAGGAGGGUUUAUAAGGCACAGGAACAGCUGCUUUUGCUUUUUGAGUUUCAGUUUCUGUCGGCUCACUGCUGUCUCGGGGGGAGUCCCUGUGUUUGCUCCUCAGGGAUGUCCUGUGAGCCACGUGCUGGGGAGCUGCAGCUGGAGAGGAGGAUCCAUCUCCUGAGGGAUCCAUCCCCUGGUGAGAUCCAUCCCCUGCUGGGGUCCAUCCCCUGCUGGGCACCAUCCCCUGCUGGGAUCCAAACCCUGGUAGGAUCCAUCCCAUGGUAGGAUCCAUCCCCUGCUGGGAUCCAUCCCAUGGUAGGAUCCAUCCCCUGCUGGGCACCAUCCCCUGGUGAGAUCCAUCCCCUGCUGGGAUCCAUCCCCUGGUAGGAUCCAUCCCCUGGUGAGAUCCAUCCCCUGCUGGGAUCCAUCCCCUGCUGGGAUCCAUCCCAUGGUAGGAUCCAUCCCCUGCUGGGAUCCAUCCCAUGGUAGGAUCCAUCCCCUGCUGGGAUCUAUCCCCUGGUAGGAUCCAUCCCCUGCUGGGAUCCAUCCCCUGCUGGGAUCCAUCCCCUGGUAGGAUCCAUCCCAUGGUAGGAUCCAUCCCCUGCUGGGAUCUAUCCCCUGGUAGGAUCCAUCCCCUGCUGGGGUCCAUCCCCUGGUGCUGCACCUGGGGUCUCUCCCAUGACCCUGAGGUUCAUUCCCAGGGCUGGGAUCUCUUUCUGCUGCCUGGAAGUCUCUGGGAUUUGGAGAGGGGAUGCUGUCGUAGUUAUUUGUGAGAGGAACAGGACAGAGUGCCCCAGUAGAGCUCUGAUUUAUUGCAAUUCUUAAAAUAUCCUUCAGGAUAUUGCUUAAUUCUUUUUUUUUUUAAUUGUCCUGGGUUUUUUUGGUGCUGAAUGGGAUUUAGGGGAAGUGGGAUUUACCAGCAUUGCCUCACUGGCAGCACAGCCACCAACUUCCAACCUUUUGAAGCAGCUCCAGUGUCUGCCCCACAUUCAUUUCCAAAACAAAACAAUAAUCAUCCUGCUGCACAAAGCUGAACUAGGAGCUUGUGGUGUUCAAACCCCAGCAAAGCAGCAGUUUUGGGAGGAAUGCUGGUAAAUCCCAGCAAUGUAAUCCAAACUAGACAUUCCCAGCACUGCUGGUGCUACCAGCUGGGUCAGGUUGUUUAAAUGGUACUGCUAAUCUUUAAUCAGAAGUUUUAUUUAUUCCUGAUGCCCUGAGGAGCAAAAAUUCAGUGGGAAGGUGAAGGUAAAAUUUAGGAAACAUCUAAAUACGUGUGCCAGCAGAGCUUUUGGGUAACUCCAUCCUCUCCCUUUUGACCACCCAAAUUUCUUGGGACUGGAGUUUGUGCUCUGGGGGCUGGAAUCUCUUCUGGAAUUUGCUUUACACGCUUUGGUUCAGCUCUGUUGCAUUUUGAGUCAGUGAUUUGUACUGCUUGUGGAAAUUAACCGUGCCCUUCUCUCCUCAGCUUGCUCCUGGCUGCCAAAAUAAUGUUUAUUUUGCUGUGGGCUGGGUUUUUUCAGCGUGGCAGCAUCCAGAGGUGCCAGUGGAUGGGGAGCUCUGAAGGAGACUCCAAACUUUCCUUUGGGUGCUGCCAGCUGCCCCUGGAUUUUCAGGGCUUUCAGCUGAACAGAUCUGCAGGUAGGUCACCUUUUCCUUGCAUUAGGCUUUGGUCUAAUAUGCAAAUUAGGCAGUUUUAAGCUUUGCAGUUGUCAUUAUCCAUCAUCAUUAUUUCCACUGCAUAAAAGCACUUGAGUUUGAUGAAAUUGUAAUUCUUAACUUAAGGUUUUUGGGAGGUGAAAGCACCAAAUCCCAGGGUCUCACAGAGUAUUUAAAUCCUGCAUUCUGCAAGGAGCAGAUGGUUUUGGACACUUCAUCAGGAGUUUCUGGUCUCCCUCAGUUUUCACACUUAAAACUGCAUUGCAAGAGAAAAUUGCAGAAUUUAUCUUGGAUCCCAGGGCUGGAUCCUGAGCUCUGGAUUGUUUCCAUCUUGCUCUGCCUGUAACGAGAUGGAUCAGGAAGUGUUUUGCUUCUUGGCUCUAUUUGGCCUUUAUUUAUCCCACCUGAUUUCUGUGGAAAGCUUUUUGCAGGAAACCUGCUUGCUUUACAAACCCACUGCAGAAAGCAAAAAGCUUCCCAUUAGUGCAAAUAUAUUGCAGGUGGAUGGAAAUUUAACUGCAGUGUGAGUGUGGAUAAGAGACUGCUGCUGCACGUUCCUGUGCCAGGGGAUGCAGGGGGACUGAGGCAUUGCCCUGUGCUCAGUGUACACCUUGUGCCAGCAGCAGGGAGCUGCAGUCCAGGCUGUGCAUCACCCUGACCCUGGGAAGCUCCUUCUCAAUGAAAUGUUUUGGCUCCUUGAAAUUGCAUCCACAGACAGAGCAGAACCAGCCCAGGGAUAUUGAUUGGGAAUAUAAAUUUUUUUCCGGUGCUGGAGGAACAGCAGCGUUGCUGAAUCUUUGCAUGGAGCUGGAAUUUACAGAGCCCUUGGCAGCUUCCAGCCAGGUGCCUCUGCAGGCUGGGGGCAGCUGAUUUGGAGGGCAGGGAACAAAAAAAAUGAUGGUUUGGGUUUGAAAAGACCCUAAAGCUGCUCGCAUUCCACCCCCUGCCAUGGGCAGGGACACCUUCACUGUCCCAGGCUGCUCCAAGCCCUGUCCAGCCUGGCCUUGGGCACUGCCAGGGAUCCAGGGGCAGCCACAGCUGCUCUGGGCACCCUGUGCCAGGGCCUGCCCACCCUCACAGGGAACAAUUCCUUUCCAAUAUCCCAUAUCCCUGUGGCAGUGGGAAGCCCUUCCCUCCUGGUCCCGUUCCUCUUCCCCUUUCCCAAGUCCCUGUUGUUCUCUCCUGGAUCCCCUUCAGGCUCUGAGCUCUCCCUGGAGCUUCUCCUCUCCAGGUGAGCCCCCCCAGCUCUCCCAGCCUGUCCCCACAGCAGAGGGGCUCCACCCCUGGAGCAUCUCCAUGGCCUCCUUGGACUCUCUGCAGCAGCUCCAAAUCCUCCUGCUGCUGUUCCCCAGGGCUGGGGCAGCUCUGCAGGUGGGGUCUCACCUGAGUGGGGCAGAAUCCCCCCUCCCCUGCCCAGGCUGGGGGCUCAGCCGAGGAGCACUUGGCUUGUUGGGCUGCAGGGAAGGAAGAGCUCUGUCCUGGCCAAGAACAAGUCCCCUGCUCCUUGGCAGAGGCUGGACACUCAUUUCUAAGCACUUGAAAUCUCCCAAAUCCUCACAGCUGCCUUGGUUUCCUGGCAGAGGGAGAAGAGCAAAUGCUUUUCAUGCUCCUUAUCUCUGGGCCCAGAGCUCUGGUGGCUGGGCUGUGUAAUCUCUGUCAAAACAAGAGAUUACUGAGGCUUCUCCUGAUGUUUCAGUGCCUCUGCCUGGUGGGAAUCUUGCUGAGUCUGUCCUUGCUUUCCCUUCCUCUCCAGUCCAAGUUCAGUGUUAUUUUAACACCACUGGGAGUAAAAUCCAUGGAAAUGUGCCUGUUACCCUGCUUUGGUCAGGGCUGGACUCUGCACCUGGGGCUUCACUGCAUUUUCCAGAUAUUCCAGGCAGCAUUUUCCAAGCUGCUGGUUGGAUUUUGCAAAUUCCCAAGCAAAAUGUUGCCUGUCUAUAAAAAUACAUUUCUGAAAUAGGUUUGGGUUUUUUUUCCCUCUCUGUUUGAACAGAAAACCCAUCCUGGGAUGGAUCCCUGUAGGAGAGUGAACCAGCAGCAUGGUUUGUCUCUGGAUUUCUGGGGUGGCUGUGGGUUUUAUAUAACAUCACUCACCUGCUAAAGGGGGUCCUCCCAUGGCUGCUAUCCCUGCAAAGAAUGCAGCAAAGCCCAGGUAGCUGUGGAGCUUCUGCACACCCACCAGAUCCACCUGUUUGGAAACCAAAAUGGGUAAUUAGUGAUUGGGUUCAUAGGAAUGCAUAUGCACAACAGAUUAAUAUAUUUAUUUUUUUUAAAGCACAGGAGAUGAUUUGAUUCUUUUUUUUUUCUGGGGAAUUUCCUCUCCAGCUGCAGCUUUGGAAGGACUUUGCCCCUGGAGGUCUGACCCAGCCUGGAACCCGUUUGCCUCCCUGAGGCAGGAGUGGGAAUGGCUGCGAUGGGAGAUGCUUCUCUGCCUUGCAGCUGCCCAGACUGGAGGAGGGAGUUUGGAACUCUGAAUGCCUUCCAGAGAGAAAUGCCCAAUUAUAAUGGUGCCUCCCUCCCUGGAUCAGAGAGUCCUGGGUAUUCAGAGAUAUCCUGGGAGAAGGGUUUGGGUUGGAAGGGACCUCACAGCCCAUCCAUCCCACCCCUGCCAUGGCAGGGACACCUUCACUGUCCCAGGCUGCUCCCAGCCCUGUCCAGCCUGGCCUUGGGCACUGCCAGGGAUCCAGGGGCAGCCCCAGCUGCUCUGGGCACCCUGUGCCAGGGCCUGCCCACCCUCACAGGGAACAAUUCCUUGCCAACGUCCCAUCUAUCCCUGCCCUCUGGCAGUGGGAGCCAUUCCCUGUGUCCUGUCCCUCCACCCCUUGUCCCCAGUCCCUCUCCAGCUCUCCUGGAUCCCUUUAGGCUCUGGAAGGGGCUCCUAGGGAAUCUCCUGGAUCCACUUUAGGCUCUGAGCUCUCCCUGGAGCCUUCUCCUCUCCAAGCUGAGCACCCCCAGCUCUCCAAGCUGGCUGCAGCCCUGGGAGCAUCCCCAUGGAGCAUCCAGCAGGAUCCUGCUGCAGUUCUGGCUGUUCCAGAACAUUCUGGAAUGGUUCUGGUUCAAGUAUUCCAGGUGAUUCUGGAAUGGUUCUGGUUCAAGUAUUCCAGAAGAUUCUGGAAUGGUUCUGAUUCAAGUAUUCCAGAAGAUUCUGGAAUGGUUCUGGCUGUUCCAGGUGAUUCUGGAAUGGUUCUGUUCUGGCUGUUCCAGAAGAUUCUGGAAUGGUUCUGUUCUGGCUGUUCCAGAAGAUUCUGGAAUGGUUCUGGCUGUUCCAGAAGAUUUCUGGAAUGGUUCUGGUUCUGGCUGUCCCAGAAGAUUCUGGAAUGGCUCUGGCUGCUCC